AACAGGUGGCGCUUGAUUAAAUGUGGUUUGCGUGGUUGGUUGGCUUGACAACCGGUUCAACUUUUGUCAAACUAUGCACUACACACACUCCAGCUAAUGUUGCUGCUAGCUAGCCGGGGUUCAGCGAGUCAAUGUCAUCCAACAUUUAUAACAAGCAUGAUUGUUAGCAAUCGAGCGCUGGACAGAAUUUACACCAUCAUGCUAGCGGCGGUGGUGGUGCUGUCCUGGGGCUACGUCAUAUACGGUAGCUGGGUGGCGGCACGGUGGCAGCUGGAGCAGGCUACAGGGAGCGGGCGACACAACUGAUGGAUGCCUGACUCCUCUUUUGAAAUGUCACUCAAACCUGUGGACAUCGUCCACUCCGGCUAUGAAGACUCUGUCUCCCAUAAUGCCACAGAAGACUACAUUCCAGAGAGACUUUGGUCAUGUGAUCUCAGCUGGACUGGCCUGCAUGAUGCAGGACUGGCCUGCAUGAUGCAGGACUGGCCUGCAUGAUGCAGCGGUGUUCUCCUGUUCCUAGAGAUUGCACUGCUAAGACUGGACUAUCCUGGACUGGAUGGGACUGGACUAUCCUGGACUGGAUGGGACUGGACUAUCCUGGACUAUUCAUGUAUGGUCUGGUCAGGUUUGGUUUAUUCAGGUCUGGUCUAUUCAGGUCUGGUCUAUUCAGGCCUGGUCUUUUCAGGUCUGAUCUGGUCUAUUCAAGUCUGGUCUAUUCAAGUCUGGUCUGGACUGUACUGGUCUGGUCUGUACUGGUCUGGUCUGUACUGGUCUGGUCUGUACUGGUCUGUACUGGUCUGGUCUGUACUGGUCUGGUCUGUACUGGUCUAGUCUGGUCUGUACUGGUCUGGUCUGUGUUUAUCUCCCUUCCAUGGGUGUUUAUAUGUUGCACAUAUUCUUUUAUAAUAAACA